rnacentral:sRNA from 1 species
UGUAUACUUCAAAAAAUCAUGAUUCAAUGCUAUAAUAAAGUUUCACCUUUGAAAUCUUAAAAAAAAAUUAAUAAAUUUAUCAUAUGUUGAAGUUAACAUUGAAGUCUAUGGAAAAAAUACAUUUUUAAUUAUAUUUCUUUAGUACAAGUAAUUUUCUCACAUUUCUCUUGGUAAAAAGUUGCAAAAGCUUUCUCCGUCUUCUAAUAUGCUAAAAUUAUUCAUAGUUUACCAUACAUAUUUUCAGAAAAUGAUUUUUUAAAUUUUCCGUUAGGGCAGACAACUCUUAAAAAGUUUUAAGUGCAAAAAGUUCAUUUAAUUGACUACAUACAUACACCCAAGUUUGGUUUAUGUCAGCCAUAUAAUAGCUUUAAAAUAUGUAUUUGAUGUAGUAAAGAUCAAUCAAAAUUGUUAAAUUCACCUUAGUUAGAUGGACUACCUUAAUGCCAACGAGCUUUGCAUGACGAAAUCAAAAUAGUAAAGACGAUUCAUAUGGUAAGAAUACUUUAUUUAGAUACUUACGGUACAUUUAGUAUAUACACUUACCACUGGCUAGGAAUCGGUUAUAAUCUAUCUGGUUGUCGUAGGUGAGGUUGAAGCCCAGGUCGCUUUGGGUAUACCCAUCUACAUUGCCGGGGUCCACGCCAUGGCAACCUUGCUGCUGCGCCAUCUGGAUGCGUUUUCUCAUGACGUCUCUGAUUCUGAGAACGAAAAUUUAAAUCGCUUUAUUCAAAAGUCAACCGUAUCUGUAAAAGAAUACAAUGUACGUGUAUCGUAAUUAUUCUGCAUGCAUCUUAAAUUUUUGUAAUUAUGCAUUAUGGAUAUUAAUGAAUGCCACAC